rnacentral:rRNA from 1 species
AAAAUUCAAUUUUGCUAGAGUAGUAGUAGAUAUAUUCUUAAAAUUUAAAAAAUUUGGCGGUACUUUAAUCUAGUUAGAGGAACCUGUUUUUUUAAAACGAUACACCACGAAAAAUCUUACUUAUUUUUAGUUUGUAUACCGUCAUUGUCAGAUAAUUUUUAAAGAAUAAAUUAUUAAAAUUUAGAUUAUUAAAAUAUAUUAGAUCAAGGUGCAGCCAAUAAAYAAGAAAAAAUGGGUUACAAUAAAUAAAUUUAUAAUGGAAUUAUACUUUGAAAAAGUUGAAGAAGGAGGAUUUAAUUGUAUAAAAUUUUUAAUAA